rnacentral:lncRNA from 1 species
CCCUAGCUAUGGAGACCAGGUGCAGCACUUCAAGGUGCUGCGCAAGGCCUCGGGGAAGUACUUCCUGUGGGAGGAGAAGUUCAACUCCCUCAACGAGCUGGUCGACUUCUACCGCACCACCACCAUCGCCAAGAAGCGGCAGAUCUUCCUGCGCGACGAGGAGCCCUUGCUCAAGUCACCUGGGGCCUGCUUUGCCCAGGCCCAGUUUGACUUCUCAGCCCAGGACCCCUCGCAGCUCAGCUUCUGCCAUGGCGACAUCAUUGGGGUCCUGGAGCAUCCAGACCCCCCACUGGUGGCGGGGCCAGUCCUGCGGGCGCGUUGGCUUCUUCCCACGGGGUUAUGUGCAGCCCGUGCACCUGUGA